CCUACGGGAGGCUGCAGUGGGGGAUAUUGCACAAUGGGGGAAACCCUGAUGCAGCGACGCCGCGUGAGCGAUGGAGUACUUCGGUAUGUAAAGCUCUGUCAGCAGGGAAGAAAAUGACGGUACCUGAGCAAGAAGCCCCGGCUAAAUACGUGCCAGCAGCCGCGGUAAUACGUAGGGGGCAAGCGUUAUCCGGAUUUACUGGGUGUAAAGGGAGCGUAGGCGGCAGGGCAAGUCUGAUGUGAAAGCCCGGGGCUCAACCCCCGGACUGCUGUGGAAACUGCACGGCUGGAGUGCAGGAGGGGUAGGCGGAAUUCCUAGUGUAGCGGUGAAAUGCGUAGAUAUUAGGAGGAACACCAGUGGCGAAGGCGGCUUACUGGACGGUGACUGACGCUGAGGCUCGAAAGCGUGGGGAGCAAACAGGAUUAGAUACCCUUGUAGUC
rnacentral:rRNA from 1 species